rnacentral:rRNA from 1 species
GAUGAACGCUGGCGGCGUGCCUAAUACAUGCAAGUCGAGCGAAUGGAUUAAGAGCUUGCUCUUAUGAAGUUAGCGGCGGACGGGUGAGUAACACGUGGGUAACCUGCCCAUAAGACUGGGAUAACUCCGGGAAACCGGGGCUAAUACCGGCUAACAUUUUGAACCGCAUGGUUCGAAAUUGAAAGGCGGCUUCGGCUGUCACUUAUGGAUGGACCCGCGUCGCAUUAGCUAGUUGGUGAGGUAACGGCUCACCAAGGCAACGAUGCGUAGCCGACCUUAGAGGGUGAUCGGCCACACUGGGGCUGAGACACGGCCCAGACUCCUACGGGAGGCAGCAGUAGGGAAUCUUCCGCAAUGGACGAAAGUCUGACGGAGCAACGCCGCGUGAGUGAUGAAGGCUUUCGGGUCGUAAAACUCUGUUGUUAGGGAAGAACAAGUGCUAGUUGAAUAAGCUGGCACCUUGACGGUACCUAACCAGAAAGCCACGGCUAACUACGUGCCAGCCGCCGCAGUAA